AGACACGUGAUUCCCCUAGUUCCCCUGAGCGCCUGCCCCUCCAGUCCCUGGGAACUCACCCUUGCAAGAGAGGCAGCUCCAGAUUAGAUUUAUACAAAAUGAUUGGCUUAGAGAUGGCAUAUGAGACUCAAGUGGACCCAUGAGAUUCAAGGCCAAGACUGGAGCUGGGACCACAGGGGAAGAAAAGCACUAUUUCUGCCAGGGUUGCUGAGUCGGCAAGAAGUGAGCCUGGAGCUGCCAGGGCCAUCCCGGGUACCUGGCGAGGAGACCGGAGCUAACACGGAGGGAAGCACUGAGACAGCAGGAGUGGAAGAGCGUCACAGCGGCGAGGUUUGAGCCCCUGGACGCGGCUGCGCCUGAAGCCACUUUUGGACUUUCCAGCUUCAUGCGCCAGUGAAUUCCCCACUUUGUGAAAGCUUACUUUCAGUUGAGCUUUUCUCGCUGGAAAGCAUCCAGGCUGCCACUAGAAGGUUAAGCAACUUGCCCAAAGCCUGAAAGGCAGCAAGCAGCAGACCUAGGGUUUAGAAGCUUCUAACCAACUGCAGUCAGACCAACAUUCUAUAUUGGGGUAUUCACUGAUUUCACCUCUUUUUACUCGUUUUCUCAUCACAAAAUGGCAUCACACCAGACUUUUAGGACUGUUGGAAAAUACAAAAUGCGAGAUCAGGACCCCCCUGGCAGUCAGUGGUUAAGACUCCACACUUCCUCUGCAGGGGGUGCAGGCUCAAACGCUGGUCAGAGAACUAAGAUGCUAUGUGCCACACAGCCAAAAAAACAAUUCUUUUUUUUUUUUUUUAAGAAAAAGCCAAAAUAAACUAUUUUUAAAAAAUAAAAUGCAACAUCACAGCUAGCAUGUCUGUAACCCAUGCUGAAGCUCUCUCUACACAUCCAGUUUCCGUGCUGCGGGCCUGGGUUUUGUCCCGAGUCAGUUAUCCCAUCUCAGGGAUGGAGAUAACUCAUCUCAGUUAUCCCAUCUCAGGGAUGUGUUUGGCUGUCACCAAAUCAGCCAACUGGUCCAGAUGCCCAAACCUCUUCAGGAGAGCAGCUGUGAAUCUCAGAGGGAAGGGCCGUGUCUCUUCUUGGCUGUGUAUCCUCACUGGCAGACAGAAGGAGUUGGGGGCCCGCAAGGAUUCUAGGGGUCCGAGUCUAUGAGGUAGAAAAAAGCCCUGUUGUCUUGAUUUCUGGAACCUUCCAAGGUCUGGUGGGCCCAUCUGGGAAUGACCUGUAGCUCAAGGAAGACAACACUAAAUCAGAUCGACUUUGUCUCUUUUCUUCAUGCAGUUUACAUGCAGUGGUAGACGAGAACACAGAAAAAUGUAUGAGAUAACACCACGUGGUAACAGUAGGGAGAAAAUAUGUCCUCAAAGGCGGAUUCGGGGCACUGUUUACUCAGGGGCAUUAGAAGGGGCCUCUCUGAGAAAGCGACAUCGCAUCGAAACUACUUUGCUCUCCCCCUGAAUCCCAAGCUCCUAACACUGGUCUACCUCCGAGAAAAAAAGACUGGGAUGGAUUUUUACCAGGAAACUUGCUGACACUGCUAAGUCAGGAGUCAAUGAUCUGCCCGAGGCUUGGUAAAUACCCAUCCUUC
ensembl:lncRNA